AGGGAGUUCUGCCCCUGCCAAGGGGUGCUGGCCACGCAGGAGGCUUAACCUGGCCGGCGCGGGAAUGGGGUGCAGAGAGCAAAGAAAUGUGGCUUUGAUCUUAUGGAUGCCUUACUUUUACAUUAUUUGUACAGUUCUUGCAGUGAGCUUUCCGGACCACUGUCUUGUAUGUUUCCUAAGAAAAGCAAAAAGGGAAGAGAUUGAAGAGAAAGUAGAUUUUCAACUACAAACUUUCAUCCAUUUGCUUUCAGCUUAAGCAAAUGUGCGCAAAGUUGUCAUGGAUUUUUGCAGUCAAUAAAAACCAAGCAAGAAGACUGAAUCCCAAGUCAUCUGGGGCAGAUAAGAAAAGAAACAAUUUGCUGAAACUCCCUCUGCUUAUAACAAAACUGACUGAAAUCAGCCGGAAUCAAUAUGGCCAAAUGCAGUUUGCGCACAGCAAGCUUGCUGAUGUCACAGCCUGAAUUUCUACUGCAUGUUUCAUACCAACUCCCUCCAAAUUUGCACAUGGGACCCACCAGGAAGCAUGAAGAGAGAGCCAUGCAUGCCUGAAGACUUCCCAGAUGUUCCCUUUGCUUCCACCAAUCACCUGCUAACCCCAGGAUCCAACCCUAAACCUUUUGUAAUAAAAUUACUGCCCUAAAGCCAGUACAAGACAGAUUUGAACUGGACUUUUGUUUCCUCAGAAGUUAACUUGCAAUGUGAAGCUUUCCUUUUCUCAAAAACUUGGUGUCAUAGUGUUGGCUUCUAGUGCAGUGAGCCCCUUUUGCUGGAUAACCUUACCUGGUAAUUUGACAUACUAGGUGGUUAGUAACUACUGACUGUCUCCAGGUUACAACACAGUUAUUACCCACUUGGGUGAAAAGAGAAGACAGGAAAUACAUUUUGGAGUUGGCUGGCAACCUGUUUACAAAGCAAUUUACAACAGUUCCUUAUUCUUAAGGGGCUAUUCUAAUACAAGACCUCAGAGAAACAGUGCAGUGUGACAAAGGAGGAAUUUAUCAAAGGAGACAGAAAAAGCAUCAAGGCAAGCUGUGAAAUGGUGCGGUAGGAACCAAAUAGAGAGCCAAAGGAUCUUUCUGUCACUGCAGGCCCUUAGGGGUAAGCAAAUCCUUCCCUGAUCCCUGGUCUCCUUAUCUGUAAAUGAGAAUACCAGCACCCACCUCACUGUGCUGUAAACAUGAUGAGUUCUAACAAUAAUUUAUAAAUUGUAAAAUCACACAAAUCUAA
rnacentral:lncRNA from 10 species